rnacentral:lncRNA from 1 species
CUCCGGCUCCCCGUGACCCUAAUGGGACAAGCGGUUUAAGACGGUGUGUGUGUGUGUGCGUGUCUUUCAACCUGUGUUUCAAAUUAAAUAAUGUCUCCAUGGGCAAUUCUUAUCCCUAAAAUCAAACACAGCCAUAUCCCUAAAAAUGUAUUCUGUGGUGUCAUCAGUGCAGGGAUGGUGGACCUACAGUAGAUGUAUGCGACUUGAUGCUUCUUUCAAUACUUCCCCUCUUUCAAUAGCUUCUUUCAGUCACUUUGUUGUGCAUAGUGUCGACGGUACAACGAAUGACCAAAAUUAAAAUAUAACAUGUUUGGUUUUAAAACGAUUUUGAAGUGAGAAGAUGCUAAUAGAUGCAGCAGGCUGUUCUUGGUAGCAGUGUGGGUUGGACAGCUGCAACGAGGGAGUCGCAUGAGUUACAGAGUGGGUGUAUAUAGAUGGGAUAUACCACAGUUAUGGAAACAUCAGCAUAUGAUUCAGUGACCAGUGUGUACACCAGAUGGGGACAGAACUGGGAUGCAUAUGCGCUGCAGCCCUUCGGGAACUGCGGAAAUGGGGGCCUUAUAGCGGUUCCCAGUUUGGCUAUAAUAUCAGAACAAAGUGUCACAGUGAGAGAUGCAGCCAUGCAGUCGCUUAUGCACUGGAAGUGCCUCGUGCCUGCAGCUCAGCGGAGCCAUGCACCGAAUGGGCAGAGCAGCAUGGCUGGUUGACGCACAGCGGCGUGAAGACAAGCGGAUGGAGGCCAGGCUGGCUGGGGGGCUGCGGCAGCUGGAUGAGGCCUGUCUGUACCACAUUAGUACCUUAACAAGGGAGCAGCGCCGAUUGACUCGGGACCUGGGAACAACUGGAACAGGUGCAGCUGUGAUGUUGAGUGUCUUUGUGUUUCUGUGGCAUGGUGUGCCAGUGCUCUCACACCUCUUAAAUGUUUUUUCUCCCCCCCCCCAUAAUCUUACAAUUCCACUACGAAUUCAGGAAAUCUUUGCAGGAAGAACGUAUUCAGCCUGCAGUCACAACCUUGGGGCCGUAAUGACGGUCACCAAAUGCCGUCAUAUCGGAAGACUGUGCUACCUAUAAUCCCACAAAAGCCAGAAAAGCACA